UACGUAGGGUGCAAGCGUUGUCCGGAAUUAUUGGGCGUAAAGAGCUCGUAGGCGGUCUGUCGCGUCUGCUGUGAAAACUCGGGGCUUAACCCCGGGCCUGCAGUGGGUACGGGCAGACUAGAGUGCGGUAGGGGAGACUGGAAUUCCUGGUGUAGCGGUGAAAUGCGCAGAUAUCAGGAGGAAUACCGGUGGCGAAGGCGGCAUCCUGGACCGACAUUGACGCUGAGGAGCGAAAGCUAGGGGAGCAAACGGG
rnacentral:rRNA from 1 species